rnacentral:rRNA from 1 species
CCUACGGGAGGCAGCAGUGGGGGAUAUUGCACAAUGGGGGAAACCCUGAUGCAGCGACGCCGCGUGGGUGAAGAAGCGCCUCGGCGCGUAAAGCCCUUUCAGCAGGGAAGAAAAUGACGGUACCUGAAGAAGAAGCCCCGUCUAACUACGUGCCAGCAGCCGCGGUAAUACGUAGGGGGCAAGCGUUAUCCGGAUUUACUGGGUGUAAAGGGGGCGCAGACGGCGAUGCAAGCCAGGAGUGAAAGCCCGGGGCCCAACCCCGGGACUGCGCUUGGAACUGCAUGGCUAGAGUGCAGGAGGGGCAGGCGGAAUUCCUGGUGUAGCGGUGAAAUGCGUAGAUAUCAGGAGGAACACCGGUGGCGAAGGCGGCCUGCUGGACUGCGACUGACGUUGAGGCCCGAAAGCGUGGGGAGCAAACAGGAUUAGAUACCCUGGUAGUC